UACGAAGGGGGCUAGCGUUGCUCGGAAUCACUGGGCGUAAAGCGCACGUAGGCGGAUUUGUAAGUCAGGGGUGAAAUCCCGGGGCUCAACCUCGGAACUGCCUUUGAUACUGCAAAUCUCGAGUCCGGAAGAGGUGAGUGGAACUGCGAGUGUAGAGGUGAAAUUCGUAGAUAUUCGCAAGAACACCAGUGGCGAAGGCGGCUCACUGGCCCGGUACUGACGCUGAGGUGCGAAAGCGUGGGGAGCAAACAGG
rnacentral:rRNA from 1 species